rnacentral:rRNA from 1 species
UACGUAGGGUGCGAGCGUUAAUCGGAAUUACUGGGCGUAAAGCGUGCGCAGGCGGUUCGUUGUGUCUGCUGUGACAUCCCCGGGCUCAACCUGGGAAUGGCAGUGGAAACUGGCGAGCUUGAGUGUGGCAGAGGGGGGUGGAAUUCCGCGUGUAGCAGUGAAAUGCGUAGAGAGGGGGAGGAACACCGAUGGCGAAGGCAACCCCCUGGGCUGACACUGACGCUCAGGCACGAGAGCGUGGGGAGCAAACAGG